rnacentral:lncRNA from 1 species
CCACCAGGUCCCACCUUGGUGACCCCAAACCUUCUCCAGGUCCCACCUUGGUGACACCCAAUCUCCACCAGGUCCCACCUUGGUGAUCCCCAAGUUCCAGCAGGUCCCACCUUGGUGUCCCCAUCACUCCCAUUUCCCACAUUGGUGACCCCAAACCUUCUCCAGGUUCUACCUUGGUGACCCCAAUGUCCAUCAGGUCCCACCUUGGUGACCCCAAUCCCCAGCAGGUGCCACCUUGGUUCUCCUCAAUGUUCUUCAGAUCCUCAAGGUCCCACCUUGGUGACCCCAAUGUCCAUCAGGUCCCACCUUGGUGACCCCAAACCUUCUCCAGGUCCCACCUUGGUGCCCCCACCACUUCCAGGUCCCACCUUGGUGACCUCAGAUCUCCUCCAGGUCCCACCUUGGUGCCCCCAAUGUCCAUCAGGUCCCCAAAAUGGAGAGGUCCCCACAGUGGGGGGGUCCCCAAGAUCCUGGGAUGGUCCCCAAGGCUGGGAGGGGGGGUCCCCCAAAAUGGGACGGUCCCCAAAAUUGGGGGGUUGGUCCCAAAAUGGCCACCAAGUCCUGGGGGAGGUCCCCAAGGUGGAGAAGGUCCCCAAAAUGGAGAAGGUCCCCAAAAUGGAGAAGGUCCCCAAAAUGGGGAUGGUCCCCAAAAUGGGGGUCCCAUGGGUGACGUCCCCAAACUGGGGGGGGGUCCCCAAAUUAGGGUGGGGGUCCCCAAAUUGAGGUAUGGGGGGUUCCCCAAACUGGGGGUGGUGGGGCCAACCCAGCGCUACCUCCCAGCUCUGCUCACUGCCAGGGGACCCCCCCAAUUUUCCUCCUCGGCUUAAUUAAGUUUUAAUUAAUUCUUAAUUAAUUCCUGGGGCUCACUCAUUAAUUUUUAAAUCAUUUUUUUCCCUUCCUCCUUUUAUUCCUGGCGGGUUUUUUUGGGGGUUUGGUUUUUUUUUUUUUUUUUUAAAGCCUCGAGGUUUUUAUUUAUUAU